UUCUUAUUAGUUUAAUGGUAAAACAGGAUACUUCUAAUAUCCCCCUUCAAGUUCAAAUCUUGAAUAAGAAU
rnacentral:tRNA from 1 species